UCCCUGGUGGUCCAACGGCUAAGACUCGGAGCUCCCGGUGCAGGGGCCCAGGUUCAAUCCCUGGUCAGGGAA
rnacentral:tRNA from 1 species